ensembl:lncRNA
UGCCAGGUUAUUUAACUUUGGUAUACGGGCUAGUGAGCCAUGGCAAGCACAUUAGGGAGAGAAUCGUGUGUGACAGACCCCCUUUUUUUAAUCCUAUGUAAUUUAGAGAAGCCUCUAUGGAUGAGCUAACAGAUAUGUCAACAGAAUUUAUGUAGUAGGGGUACUCAAUCAUGUUGGUAACAGAAUACCAUACAUGUGACAUAUACGAGUGAGAAAGACAAAGCUGAAAACCUCUGUUGACUAGAACUGCCAGAUAUACCACAUCUGAAAUCUUGCUUAUGUUGGUGAGUUCACAAGAACUAAACUCGGUUCCUGCACUCCAACUUGUUAUGUAAUAGCUUGUCUUCUAUCUCUUCCAGUAUAUUGGAUCAACGGGUAGGCCAUUGGGUCAAGCUGUUGGACGCGUUCCAUUUGAACAGACUGGCGUGUAUAGUCUUUGAAAUAGGUCUCAUUGGCCAUACAAUGUAAAUGCUGUCCAGAGAAAGUGUGAGAUCACACCUCCUCAGUUGAAUUUACAGCUAUCAUUCCCGUAGAAAGGAAUCAAUUGUUCCACAAUCCAUCACCGAUUGCCACUGUGUUCCUCCACUUACUCCAAAUCUGUAUUUCCGUCGCUGAACCGGUAGAGCAGUAGUAGGUUAAUACCAAGGUGCUGAGUUCAAUGCGAAAAUCGCUUCAGAUAAACAUGUCUGCUAAAUGACUGAAUGUGAAUGUAACGCUGCCCAGAUAAGCUUUUCUAAUCCCAGUUGAUCCCUGUCUGGGCUUUUUUUGAAUACAAAGAGUGUGCAUGAGAGACUGGACUUACCCAAUUCACACCACCAGCAGCAAUGCUGUGUUCUUACUCUUUUGUGUCAAACUGUGGAAAAGGAUGAAGGGCAUAUCAGAUUUCAGCCACUGAAACUGAGACUUGUAAGUAACUCUGAAACAGCUAGAUCUUCAUUUCUGCUGCAACUUAGGCAGACCAACAAAAGCAAUAGCCUAUCAAAAAAAGAUUAGGCUCUGCAUCUAACACUUUACAUAUGCACAUGGCCAAUUAUUGGUCAGGAAUUUAAUCAGAUAAAUAGGGCCCCCCAAGCCAUCCGGAAACAUCCAGUGUUUAAUUGUUAAGAAAGAUCUUUGAUUAGUUUUUUUUUGUUUGUCUUUAGCCUAUUUGCUGUGUGUUGAAAGAGAGCAAACUCCAGCCACAUUAACUAUUGGAUUUUCUUGUAGAAGAUGUGCUUUGGACAGACAUAGUAUUUUGUAUCUGAAUAUCAACAUGAGUAAGAACAUUUUAUGCUGAGAGAAAGAUUUCUAUAUGACAAUGAUCGCCUACGUGCCAUGUAGGCACUGAAGGGGAAACAUGAAGUAAUGUAUUGUUUGUCACCACAGUGUACUUACAGGGUCAGACAUGACUCUAGCACUUUGUGACAACAGUACACAAUCCAGGGACAAUCUUGUUUAGAUUUUGAUACGGAAUGUUGGUGAGAGCUUACAAGUCGGUGGCUUUCCUCCUGAAAUCCACCCACAGUUGACAAGUUAUUUGACACAGUGUCAAAUAACCUCUCACCUCUGCUGUUUUCUCUUUGAAACAGCACGGCUAUGUUGAGCUCCUCUCUCACGAGGCUCUAGAUUGACUUAGACUGUCCCAAACAACCAAAACAUUGCUCAUCACACCCAUGUUUUCUGUGAUGCUAGUUUGCUGUUGUCGUUAAUGCUGCACACAUAAUGCCUGGAUUCAAUGUGUAGCAUUGUGUAUCCUAUUAAUGCCAUGGUUACUGAAUAGCAUUGUGUAUCCUAUUAAUGCCAUGGUUACUGAAUAGUCAUUUGGACAAUCUAAGAUUGUAUCUCCAUGUGUUCAUCAAAAUGAUCUUGUUUUUGAUAUGUCCUUUUAAAUACAAAUGUGUUAUUACUUUAGCGUAGCAUCAGUCCGCAAAUUGGUUUUAUUGAUGGAUGCUCCUUAAAAUGGCUUGUCCAGAGUAUAGAUUUAUUGCAACGGUUUUGACCAAGUGCAUAUAGGGUGUCUCAUUAUGCAGAAAUAUCAGGAAUUGGAAUUGUGACAAUGGUAUAAUGAAAUGCUACCUAAGGGGGCCUUGUGAAUUACAAUUAACACCCCUUCAUUUACUUGAUCACUAAUAAUUUGGUUUGUUUGUCUACAUUACUCAAAAGGAAAUGUCUGUAGAAUAUUUUAGCAGCUCUUUUUCCAAUGGAAAUUAAAACAGUUUUUCUUUUUUGGCCAACACAUUUUGUGUAACACGUACACAUACACAAAUGCUCAUAUUUGUUAGUGAUAUGAGUUUGUUCAGAAAAUGACUGGGCAUUUCUAGGCAAAUAAGCCCUUUACACACUGAAAUAGCUCUGUUAUACACCACUAUCAGAAUAAUAAAUAUAAAUAUAUAUAAAGAACCAUUACAGGUUUAAAUUCUCUUGGGGUUCUAUGAUACAAGAGCUCUUUAGAGUUGAAAAUUGCUAUGAAGCUCGAAGCCAAAGGAUUCCAUAGACCUCUACAAAUGACAGUUAACGGGAGGCAUUAAAGGGUUAAAAGAGUUGUUCUCUGGGGAGAAGCUGAAGAACUGUUAGAAAGCACCAGAUACAUAUUUUUUUUUUAAACUUUUCUGUUACUAAGACUCUAUGCCAUGUUCAUGUCAAUGUCAAAAUCUGAACAUGGUAUUAGGAAACUGUACAUGGUGUUAUCACAUUUUGCUCAAAAGCUGUAAAAGAUGUAGUAUAGUAAUUUUCCACUUGGCCUUUUCUGCUCCUACCUUCUCUACUCCAGCUGGCUUGCUUUGUGUCAGCAAGAAAAUAUCAAACUUUGAGACGUGACAACCAACAUGCACAGCACUUUUCGACACUACAGGCAGCAGAAAAUGAAAUAAAAUGUUUCUCUUUGCAAUACAUUAUCUGGUGUAAACACAUCAUAAUGAUUCUCUAUUGUCUUACAAGCUCACAUGGGUGACAAAGUGGCAGCAUCCAUGUUAUGUCAGGCGUUCAGUUUACCAUUUAAAGAUGUAUUCAUUCGCUGGCUUUGAAAUAACAGCAGCUGGAUAAGUUGUUGGUAAUUAUGUACAAUAUCCUCAGCACACAUCCUAUUUGUUAUACGUUGAACACCCGUGUGUUUACACCAAUCAGAAGCUGUAUAGUUCUACGGUGGAUUUACCUUCUGCUUUCCACCACACCUCAAUAUUUAACCAAUUACCCAUUACCAGUAAUGAAAAUAUUAUAAAUUGGUUGAAUAAAUGCCAAGAUUAGAAAUGAUGGUACCUCUGGACAUAUGAAGCAUGGCAUUACACAAAAUGAAACCCCCCUCUUGCGCACAAGUCCAUGACCUCCCUCUCCAAUAUGGAUGGCAUGGCUCUGUAAUAAAGCCUGGGGCUGCAGGUUCGACCAAUAGCAUGUCUGUGGCUGAAGUGGAGGCCCGGGACUGGCCCUCUUCCCCUCUCCACUAUUACUCAUGUUCUCCUCACAACCCUCCAAGGAAGAGGGGAGACAGCGGCCAUUAGUUCUACAGGAGAAAACAAGGACUAUAAAUUUAACCAUGUAUGCCAAUGGAGAGCCCUUGCUCACAACUAAGCCACAAAUAUAUGGUCUGCAUACAGAUGAGUUGCCUAAAUGCAUCAUUUCCAUACAAAAUACUAAACUACAAACACUGAAAAUCUGAAAGGAAAAAAUCAUUUGGAUUUUUAUUAAUUUAUCAAGAAAAUGACAUCAUUCAUUUUGUUCAAUUUCGUAUCAAAAAAGCUGUGUGUAAUUGAAUCACUAUCUUGCCAAGGCGGCCAAUUCAUAAUGUACAAAGGAAAGUCAAAUGCUCGGGGCAGCUAUAACAGGUUUAAGCAUUCAGUUCAGACAUUAAUCUGCAGAGUCUGAAAAGGUGUGCAAUCUCACGUCCUUCCUGCGUGUCCUUCUGGAUACGUCCUUUUAAUAUCUUGCUGAAAUCACUGGAUUAGGACAGGAGCAGGGAAGAACAAGGAGGGGUCAAGUGCCCCUGACGUGUCUUGUGUUCUGGUGUCUCCGAGCUCUUAAAAGAUGAAAGCAUCACAGUCAUUAAUGCAAAACAAUAAACACAUUAAAACAUAAUUUAUAUCAAUUAUAGAUUCCAUGUGAGCGAAAGUGCCUUAAGCGGCAGAGACAUGCGGUACCAACAAUAGUCCUUAUUAUUUACAGUAUAUACAGUAUAAGCCUUGGCGUCAGUGACCAUGGAGACCUGUCCUCUCUUUCGGCUGGAUAGCAGGUCAUAAAGCGGGUUUGAAAACUAGCAGAGGAUGAUCAUGCCAGUGCCCACUGAGCAGUCUCAGAGAUGAUCCGCCAUCUGUGGCCAGUUAAGAGGACCUCACAACGACUGGGUCAUUACUGCCAUGUCCUCAUGCAAGGUCAAGCCGAGCCUUAAGCCACAUAAACACUCUUGUGUACUCGUGUAUUGUGCCGAGCCUUAAGCCACAUAAACACUCUUGUGUACUCGUGUUUAACACGGAAAUGGCUAGUGGUGUCUUUUAACUGCAAACGUUCACAACAGAUGACAAGAAGCCAUCCCCACAUUUUACCAGAAGAUGGGCGGUAUUUUAGACCUACAAGGUUAAAAGAGGGAAUUUGGGAAUGAAACCACCUCAAGUAGCUAUCAUGACAAUAUCUGACAACAUUUGGUUUAUGAAUGUCACCCAAUACUGUUGUAGCGUACAAAGGUUUGGACUGAGAAAAACAACUUUCCUCAUAAUUGUGCCCUACACAAAGCAAUCCACAAAUAGGCAGUGAAUUUCACUGCAAAGAUAUUUAUAUAGCAGGAUCGUGUCAGCAUUGUAUAUUGUACCUUCAAGCCGACAAACCUAGCAAAAGGACACAUUUGUGUUCAUGUCCUGUGGGGAUUAGAACACCUGUUACAGUUCCAAAACAGCCGUAACUGCCAGCCAGUCCAUUAUCAAUGGAAAAAAGUCACUGGCCUCCCAGCAGUGGGGCACAUACUAACAUGCGCUGUAUUUAUUCAUUAACAGCAGGAGAGCAGCUUAAUUGUGUUCAAUGAUAGGGCUCCAAUGUGCAGCUUCCCUUUUCCAUCAAGUGAACACUUCCAUCGAGCGUACAUUUGAUAGCCACUGAUAAUUAUACCUUUACUGACCGAAUACCAAUGGUGAUUUCAUUUCUUUCAAAUGUGUCCGCUUUUAGUAAACCCUGGAAACUGCUGAGCUGAAAGACAUUUGAUAAUAUAGUUAAUAACCAAAUACACAACCAAAUUUGACAACUGUCUGUCAAUUUUAAUAAUGUAUUCAGUGAUAUCUGAAUGAGUGAACGUUUUGGAUGCUAGUGUCUGGUCCUUUGGUAAAAAUGUAAUAGAGCUGAACAUUUCUUACACACUCCUCUAAUUACAUAAUCUACAUUCUUUUUAUAAGCCUGUGAUACAUAAUAUCUGAGAAUGUGAAUUAAAAUGCCAUUCAGUCUUGGCAAUAUAAGUAGGAUAAUUACAGCAUGAAAUCUUGCAACAUUUUCUACUUGUCACUGUGGAAAUGGGAACUUUGCCUCCCCCUUCAAAGUGUGCUUCUGUUUUAGGAUGCCACUCGGCACACAAUGCUGCAGAACCUCACAGCGCUUACACAGGCAACAGCUACGCAUGGCAGUACAGCCUGGCUAUAGGCUACAUGGCCAUGAGCACUGCCACACAUUAGUUGAACCUCUGCCACACACCACAAUAACACACAGGCAGCAUGCUUGAGAGCUAAACUCACCCGGAUGCAUAAAUGGAGAGAUGAUAUGGAGAUGAAUCCUGUACAUGAGGGAACGAUUACCCACAGAAAUAGGCCAUAAAUGUCUUACUGUCAGCCGCGUCUAAGAUCACUGUCACUAGUAGUGCUAAACACAAAGGAAACAAUGUGUUAAACAUGACUGACACAGAAGCAUCACUAGUAGUGCUAAACACAAAGGAAACAAUGUGUUAAACAUGACUGAUAGAGAAGCAGGCUGAAGAAGGGACCUGCCAGAAAACAUCUGUGCGGCAUUAAAAAAAAAUAAGUCCAGGUGUGCACCAAACAAGUCAAUUCGCUUUUUUGGGGAUUUUUUUUUUUUACUUCUCUCUCUGAUAUUAAUAAUUUAGCAUCUGAAUAUUGGUAUUGCGGCAGGCAAUUCACCUGAACUUGUCAGUGAAUUUUUUUCAACUUCUAGCUGUUAGCCCAUGGGAACAAACAACAGUUAACAUGUACGAGCGUGAUCCUGCUCCCGCCAGAGAGAAGCUGCUGAGCAGAAACAAUUGGCCUCGCAGUGUGUCUGACAAUUGAACCCAAUGAGUUGGAAAUGUAUCACACCAGUUACACCAUUAACAGAAUAACAGAAAUGAACGAAUACGACAAAAGAAAGAAUUGCUUUGAUUUCAGAUGGAACCAGGGAUGCUGGUUCUACAACAAGCUUCAUCAGACUUCCCAUCUGAGGUUAUGCUUUUAUUGCUUUAAGCCAUGUUGUGAGUCUUUGCAGGCUGAAUAUAUCUGCUUACAUAGGCGACUCAUCUGAAUGGCAAAAAUAUUUGAUGGUUUAAGCAAGCUACUUCAUUCUUAUUUGCCAGCUAGUAGAAAUAAUACAAACAAUAAAAAUGUGCCUCAUGUGUAAAGAAAGUAAGUGUUGACAUAAUGGGACAGAAAAUGACAAUUUUUGCGUGAUUCUUUUUAUAGAAAUAAUUGAUUCUUCAACGAAUUCUUCCUGUGUUGUCAUUGAGGUUCAGCUCAACAAUUGUUUUCCAUUGCUGGAAGCAGUAUAACUACUUGUUGGACCAUCAAGCAGCAAUCUGCUGCUUGGCAUAACUUUGCUUAUCAUUUUUAUGGUACAUGCAUUUUGGAUGUCCUCCCCCCUCUUGUUGAAGCUUUGAACCUUGUAUCUGUCUGUUUCUGACUCACGACUCACCUCUUAUCCAAGAGUAUCACCUUAAAAGAAUUUGAUUCUCAGUUAAUCUAUCAUGGAUAACAAUAAUGUAAGACAGGACAAAUCCUUGCUUGCCUUGUGGUAGAGAUGGAUUUGUAUCCAUUUCAUCAUUUUUUAUUUCCAGUUUUAUUGAGUUCAGUAAAUCUCCUUCAGGAUCAAUACAGUAUUUAUUUUAUGGACGUUAUGUGAAACCUAAUGUAGAGACUGAAGUGAGAUUGGUCAUUAAAUCCUGCAAACACCCUCAUGUGUAGAUUCAAACUGAAACAUAUUCAAGGCUAAACUAUGCCUUAAUGAAAUUUGCAUGGCUUAAAAUGUCAGUGCAUUCAGUGGCUUUCAUUAUCAUGAUUAUGCAGUAGCUCUAAAAAUAAAAGCUUUUAAAUGUUUUACAAAAGAGAGUCCCAUCAUAUUUGGCGUCAACAUCACUUCAGAGAACUGCUAUCAUGCCCAUCUGAAAUAAUUCAACUAUGAGUUACUAAUAAAAUUGUCUUUUGGCCUAUGACUUUUCCCAACAUGGAUUACCAUAAAGUGGCAAGAGCAGAACGCCUGUGUAACUGGUUCCAUGCAAAGAAGGACAUUUUGAACAGAAAAUUGAGUUUGCAAAAAGCUUUCACAUCACUCUAAAGAACUAAAUACAUAAAACCGUUCCUAAUCAGAUCAGUUUGAAAGCCUCUUCUAUCAGACAACAUCAGGUUAUACUACGUGUAUGUAACACAAAAUUUUGAAUUAUAAACGGUUGUCUUUGAGAGAACAUACCUCAAGGAUACUAAGCUUUAGCAUUUUAAUGUCAUCCUUGUAUUAGUAUUGCACGGCAUCUGGCCUCUGGCAUCCAAAACUCAUAAAUCUCAUCAUAGCCUCACAUUAAUAUCUAUUCAUCUUAUAUUUAUCAUGGCGUGCUACAUUCAAGGCUUGUGAUUGAAGUGUUCUUUACAGCAGAAGUAUGCCAGCAGUUAUAUCAGUAUUAGCCAAUCAACGGCUCAAGUUGGAAGGCAGUAUACAAGGCACUGUGUAAGAAUCGAACAGGACGAGGAUUUUUUUAUUGCCAUGUAUCUGAUCAUGAAGGAAUUCACGUCUGACUAGCUUGGAAAGAAAAGGAAACACUUUCCAAGGAGGGCAUAAAAGGGCUCACCAUAUUGGCUUUGAAAGCAGAUGGUUGGUGCUAGGGAGGGUUUGGAGCUUGGCGUGCUGAAGUCUAAUGCAGUUUUGUCGAGAGAGGGGUGCGUCAAUGAUUUAAUGAAGUCCUCUCCUCACCUCCUCAGGAGGGGGCGCUUUAAUCUUGAGCCAUCACUUCGCCGCUUCGCUCCCUGACACUCACAGGAAAUGCAAUCAGCAUUACCGGAUGCCCUUGGGAGUGUUCAUUGAACAUAAACACAUGAAUUAAAUGUUUGUUUUUUUCUCUAUUUUAUUUCUGUGGACUAGCCAUUGGGGGCUCUUCCUCUCUCGCCAUGGGAAGCUGAACACCUUGCACACACAGAGCUUUGGAAGUGCAGCGUAUUGAUAGAUCACACACUUACAAUACUGUCUGCUUUAUACACACUGAAAAAAAGAGGGGAUGAGGGAUUGGAACUUUGAUGUGCUUCCUCCCUUAAUCCGCCACAAUAGACUGCUCUUACCACAGUGGCAGCGCUGAUUACUCCAGCCCAGACCCCUUUACAUAAUGUAUGUAAAGCAACUGUUCCUCAGCCUAAAGAUUAUGCUCAAAUCUGACAAAAACAACACUCUGUAACUGGAUUCAGUCAUGCCUGCAAAUGCUAACGUUUAUUUUGUGGAUUAAAUUACUUAUAGACCACUGGGGGGGAAAAAAGCAGUUGCAAACACACGCUGUUUCCCAGGGACACUGCCAGCGCUGCACCAAGCGAAGCCUUCCUGAUCUGCUCAGGAGGCAUGAAAACCAGAGUAAUGGCUGCUCUUUAAGCCCCAUGGGUGUUAAACAUGGUGAAGUCACAGGCACACACGUGUUGCUCCAGGGGAGUCUCUCAGCACGGUUCAACUCGUUUGCAAUUCCUCUAACCAUCUGACAUGUGAAAACAAACAAUUAGUCCAUCCUGUGUCAUUUAUUGAAGAGCGUUUUUACAACAUUAGUUCUUCUCAAAGCUGUUGUUGCCGAUACUCUGUUGAGUCAUAUCGAUGGUGUGAUUGUACAGAAGGGGAUCUGGGUAGCCUCAAGGCUGGUGGUUCUUUAAUACUCGAAUGAACAAUUGUAAUGUCGUUAUGGAUGUGUUGUCUUGAGAACAUUUAUAUUACCCUGUAUUUUUCCUUUUUUUGUUAGCUAUGGCUUCCCCUAAUUGGGGUCAGUACAGGUUUCUGUUUUCCCCUUUUGGAAUAUAUUCUCUUCAUGUAAUAUGACAAUACAGUACUCCUGUACACCAUAUUUUACUUUAACAAUUUUACUAAGCAUUUUACUUUGAACACUUUCCCGUGCAUUUAAAAAAAACAUCCUGAAGAUGUAAUUACACAAUAAUUGCAGUUUAUCAUCGACACUUGCCUGUAUUAUGGGUGUCAUGGUGAUUUGUAGAAUAGAUUAUAUUUAACAAGCUAGUCUGUAAUUAGAUGCAUUUCUGAUGUACAAGUGUUGUUUACAGUGGUGUGUUGUUUGUUAUGAAGAUCUCCAAAAGCUGGCAAUUGAGUUUUAAGGUAAUCUAAAUUACCUUGUUAUAAUAAUGCACAGGUGUACAUACCUGUAAUGGAGUUUGACAUUUGAGAUAACAAGAUGCUAAUGUGAUGAUAACAUGUGAUAACGUAACAUAAUGUAAUGUGAUGACUGAUACGUUUGAGUGAAAUACUUGUUAAAUGUCUAAAAAUCUGUGAAGAUUAUAGAUUUAAAUGUAUACAUAGUGUAUGAUAAGUGACUUACCUUAUGGGAUCUGAUCCCAUACUUUGCAGCAUGCUUUUCUCUUUUUUUUUAAGCAAUACUCCAAGUACAGAAGGUUCAGUUUGCAUGCAAACACUUCCAUGACAUGAUGGCUUGGCUGUGUUUGUUUUACAUAUUUUAAAAUGCAUGUUAUUUAUAUGUACGUAUCUCUGUAUGUGAUUGUGAAGUGAAGGAAAUGCAGCUUUCAUCCACCAUACUUAGUUAGUGAUAUGAUUGAUCCUUGUAGAUGCUCCACUGACCUUUUUUCUGAGGAACAUCUGAUAUGCAGUGAGACAAACAGGCCUCUGAGAAAUGAAGCCUUGUCAUUAUACAUUAACAAAUCGCUGAUGCGAAAUACUUGUUAACACUUAGAAAACAUCUGUGUUUUGCUAUGAGCCAGAGCCAGGCAGUGUGAGCAACAUAAUGGAGUGGAUAAAACUCUAGGAGUGUCCUACUGCAUCACGUACUGUCAGGAAUGCUGGAAUCCCACCUGAGUUGAGGCGUAACCUGUGUUCUCUGUUUUCACUAUAUGUUUGCACGUGUGCUUUUGUUUUUGUUACCAUGUGCUUUUGUUGGUUUAUGGAUCCCAGUCUGU